UACGUAGGGUGCAAGCGUUGUCCGGAAUUAUUGGGCGUAAAGAGCUCGUAGGCGGUUUGUCGCGUCUGCUGUGAAAACUCGGGGCUUAACCCUGGGCCUGCAGUGGGUACGGGCAGACUAGAGUGCGGUAGGGGAGACUGGAAUUCCCGGUGUAGCGGUGAAAUGCGCAGAUAUCGGGAGGAACACCCGUAGCGAAGGCGGCACUCUGGGCCGGAACUGACGCUGAGGAGCGAAAGCGUGGGGAGCAAACAGG
rnacentral:rRNA from 1 species